GGGAUUUUGAAGUCCUCAGGUAUGUGGCAUGAGAAAGAAACUAAACUACUGAGGCCACAUGACUGGCAUUAACCUCUUCAACCAACCAGAGCUAACCAAGGCACUCAAAGUGAAGAGACUAGCCUAUGACAUCACAAUACUGGAUGUUUGAUUUACUAAGGAAAAAAGUGGUUUCAAGUACGCCUCUCUCCCUCCCAUCUACUCUGUGGGCAUGGAUCACAGCAGUGACCCCAAGAAGGAAUGAAAGAAAAGCCAAUGCUAUUGAAGCAUCUACCAAAUGCCUCACCAUCCACUUGCACAUACAUCUCCCUCUUCAACAACUCUAGGUCACGUAUGUUACAGACCAGAAGCUCAAGAUCUUACGGUACUUGAACACGACUAGUGGUACUGUUUUGGGGGGCUUUCUGAAGCAAAUGUGGUCCAAGAGACCAUAUAAAAUAUUUAAAAUAACAAUAAUAAACCAAUG